rnacentral:rRNA from 1 species
UUUAACGUCCAUACCACAUUGAAUACGCCGGUUCUCGUCCGAUCACCGAAGUUAAGCGACAUCGGGCACGGUCAAUACUUGGAUGGGUGAUCGCCUGGGAAAACCGCGUGACGUUGGCU